UCACUAUAUUGGUAGGAAGUUGGCAUCUAAUACUAACACCAUGAAUUAUGCAUUUUCCUCGGCCAUAGGCAACACCUUUACAUUUAUGGUGGAGCUCGCAGUCCAUGGGGAUAUCUUUGUCAUAUUCAUAUAUUUCAAACUCCUCAUGGGGACAGAAAUUCCACCAUAAUGCACUUGUACAUAUGGUUGGAUAUUGGAAGAUCCACUCCGAUGCGGUCAUCUAGAAGACACGAUGUGUCAAUAUAUGGUAGGAAUUUGGCAUCCAAUACAAACACAAGGAAUUAAGUGUUUUCCUGGGCCACAGACAACACUGUGUAUAUUUAUAGUGGAGCUAGAAGUCCAUGGGGAUCUCUUCAUCAAAAUCAUAUAUUUUCGGCCCAUAAACUCCUCACGGCGAGAGAAAUUCCACUACAAUUCUCCGGUGAAGUUGUGGAAGCGUCGCCGCUAGCCUUCGAUCCAGCGGCGCCAGCUGACCCCGUGGUGCCAGAUCCAUUGUCUCUCGCGUCGGUAGUGGCUUUGAUGGUGCAAGCUGACCCUAUGGUGGUGGCAGCGCUGUCAGCGAACCAAGACGUGGUUUCAGGGUUUCUAGUACCUGUGGAGGCAUCCCUGUAGUUUACUACUGCCCUUUCUCCGUCGGCAACAUGACUUCAAGAUCGAUGCAAUAAAGUUAUUCGCCGGUGGCUAAAGAGAUGGGGAGGGUUCUUGGAAAUGUUACUUUGGGAAAUUUUGUUUCUUGUUGUGAGCGUCGUCUAGUGAUCGUGUUUCUUUUCUGUAUUUCAUCGUUGUUGUAGCAGUUGGGGGAGCUAAAUUGUUGCUUUUGAUUUACCUUGUUAUGUUGAAUGGCAGCGAUUUUCUAUGUAAGACUUUGGAAG